rnacentral:lncRNA from 1 species
UUUUGUUCAGUCUAUGAAUCGUUAUGUGACUUAUGUCUAUACAAGGACCAAUACAGCGGGUAUAUUUGUCUUUUGAAUCUCAUAUCAAAAGGAGCAAAGGUUGACAAAAAUCUAAAAGCCCAUAAAACCAACUUGAGUCUCAAAAGAGUUAUACAACGAGUCAAAGUCAUGCAUCAUGUUUGUUACGUGUACUCUCUGUGUCCAUGUUUAUAACGCAAGUUUCAUGUCAUUGUCGGUGCGCACACUUGUAUUGACUUUUGGUCCUGAAAACAUUAAUGUCAACAUAUAUACAUGACGCCACAAAACGAUCAGUGCAAUCGCCAUGACGUUAAAAUGGGUGGAAAAUCAUUUCUCAUUAUGUAAAAAACAGAAUUUGUUAAGAUUUGAGAGAAGGUUUGUGAGAAUGUGUUGUAUAUUUCUUAUUGUUUACACUAUUAUGUAUAGUGGUUCAUACAAGGUGGAGUCAAAGGGAGAAUUGAUUACAAAAAUACUCUACAUAAUGAUAUGGUCAAACUCAUAAAGACUAAGGUUGAAUGGGUCUUCCAGGUGACUGGAUGUAAGCCUUCAAUGGACUCAAGUUUUGAACUUAUAUGGUCUAGGUUAUGGACCAUCCACUUCAUAAUUCAUAACACUUCCCCUUGGAUGCCAUAACCAUAUAGGACUUGUAACAUACUAAUGUUGUCUCAUUAAAACUUCUUCCGGAAAACCCAAAACCCAAUAUAGUAAAAGAGAAACCAGAGAAAGGAAAAAAAGUACAACACACAUUACUCUCCCGGAUUUGGACAUCACUGAAGGUCCUUGAGUCUUCGCAUGCCAAUCUGCUGCGUGAGCUUCCUGAAUGUGCUGGUGGGCAAUGACUUGGUGAAGAGGUCGGCUGAGUUCUCACUAGACCGGAUCUGAAGGACGUUGACCUCUCCAGCUUUCUGCAACUCAUGAGUAAAGAAGAACUUGGAUAGAAUAUGUUUGGUUCGGUCACCUUUGAUAUACCCGUCUUUGAGUUGAGCAAUGCAAUCAGCAUUAUCUUCAUAUAUGAUGGUCGGACCAUUGUCCUUGACCAUUCCACUAUCUGAUCGGAUGUGUUGGGUCAUAGACCUCAACCAUACACACUCACGACUUGCCUCAUGCAUGGCAAGAAUUUCUGAGUGAUUAGAUGAAGUGGCUGCUAUAGUUUGUUUCAUGGAACGCCAUGAUAUAGCAGUACCACCAUGAGUGAACACAUAACCGGUUUGAGACCGACCAUGGUGUAGAUCAGAUAAGUAGCCUGCAUCUGCAAAGCCUACCAAAUCAUUUUUGGUUUCAUUGGUAUAAAAUAGACUCAAAUCCUUAGUUCCUUGUAGGUAAUGUAGAAUAUGUUUAAUUCCGUUCCAGUACCUUUGGGUCGGACAAGAACUAAAUCUUGAUAGGAGGUUUACGGCAAAACAUAUAUCUGGUCUAGUGUGGCUAGCCAAAUACAUUAAUGCUCCUAUGGCACUGAGGUAUAGCACUUCUGGACCCAGGACAUCCUCAUCGUCCUUCUUAGGACCGAAUGGGUCCGUGUCCAAAUCAACGGACCUCACGACCAUUGGGCUGGUCAAUGGGGGAGCAUGGUCCAUAUAAAAUCUCUUGAGUACUUUUUCAGUAUAUGCCAUUUGAUGCACAAGGAUUCCUCCUUUCAUGUACUCAAGUUGCAACCCCAAACAGACUUUGGUUUUACCUAGGUCUUUCAUUUCAAACUCUUUCUUGAGAUAUUCAACUGUUUGGGCGAUUUCCCCAGAGGUUCCAAUGAUGUUCAAAUCAUCAACAUACACUGCUAUGAUAACAAAUCCAUUGUUUGUAAACUUAUUUAUAAAGAUACAUGGACUGAUAGGAUCGUUCUUAUAGCCUACUUUGGCAAGGUAUUCACUUAAGCGAUUAUACCACAUUCGACCACUUUGCUUAAGUCCAUAUAAGGAUUUGUUCAGCCUUAUGCAGUGUUCUUCUCGAGAACCUUUGUUAGCUUUAAGCUCAAUACCCUAUGGUAAUCUCAUAUAUAUUUUAUUAUCCAGUGGACCAUAAAGGUAUGUGGUUACAACAUCCAUCAACCGCACAUCCAAAUUUUCUUUGAUGGCUAGACUUAUUAAAAAGCAAAAUGUAGUUGCAUCCACCACAGGGGAGUAUGUCUCCUCAUAAUCGAUGCCUGGCAUUUGUGAGAAUCCUUGUGCUACAAGCCGUGCUUUGUAUCUUACAAUUUCACCAUGUUCAUUUCUCUUCCUCACAAAUACCCACUUAUAUCCCACUGGAUUAAUGUUAGAAGGCGUCAGGAUAAUCGAUCCAAAGACAGUCCUUUUCUUUAAUGAUUCUAACUCCACGUUUAUGGCUUCUUUCCAUUUGAGCCAAUCAGAUCUUUGAGUGCACUCUAGAAUAGACGUGGGUUCAUGAUCCUCAUUUAAGUCCAUCAUAUCAAGGGCUACUUUAUAAGCAAAUAUAUCAUCGAUGUCGACAUCUUUUCGGUUCCAUCUUGUCCCAGACAUAAGAUAAUUAAUUGAGAUCUCAUCAUUAGCACCUUCAGUACCAUGAGGCUCGGCGUCCCGAGUCUCAUUGGUUGGUACUUAGGCAUGGCCAUUUCGGCCUUGUCUGGACAAUCUAUGACCUCGGUUUCUUUUGCACCUUUCUUUAAUUUCCGGGGUCCUUUAUCUUUGGAACCAAUUGGUCUACCAUGUUUGAGACGUGCUUUAGACUCUGUAGCCAUUUGAUUGUGUCCAUCAUGGACAUCAAUACUUAUUGGUGCAUUACAAGCUGGUAUAUAGGACUUAGUCACUUUUUUCGGAUCAGCAAAGGAAUCAGGCAAUUGAUUAGCUAGCUUUUGCAAAUGAAUUAUUUUCUGGACCUCUAAAUCACAUGAUUGAGUCCGAGGAUCUUGCCAUGAUAAGAAUGUUUGAUUCCAUUUUAUUGCUUUGCCCAGCUUGUUAUUCUCUCCCCCUAAUGUUGGGUACUCAGAUUCAUCAAAAUGACAAUCUGCAUAUCUGGCCUUAAACAAAUUUCCUGUUGUUGGCUCAAAAUAUUUAAUAAUGGUGGGAAAGUCAAAUCCAACAUAUAUUCCCAUCCUCCUUUGAGGUCCCAUUUUUGUUCUCUGUGGUGGUGCAAUAGGAACAUACACAGAACAUCCAAAUGUUUUGAUAUGGGACAGGUCUGGCUCAUGACCCGAGAGUAAUUGGGAUGGAGAAUAUUUGUGUUCACUAGAUGGCCUUAUGCGUAUUAAUUCAGCAGCAUGUAAUACCGCAUGUCCCCAAGCUGAUACUGGAAGCUUCGACCUCAUGAGUAAUGGUCGAUCUAUGAGUUGGAUUCUUUUAAUGAAAGAUUUGGCCAAUCCAUUCUGUGUAUGUACAUGUGCCACGGAGUGUUCCACAUUUACCCCCAUGGAUAUAUAGUAAUCAUUAAAAGCUUGGGAAUUGAAUUCAUUAGCAUUGUCAAGACGAAUAAUUUUAAGUGGAAAAUCUGGAAAGUAGGCUCUCAGUCUUAUGAUCUGGACCAGUAAUCUAGCAAAUGCCAGGUUUCUAGUGGAUAAUAAACAAACAUGCGACCAUCUGGUUGAUGCAUCAAUGAGGACCAUAAAAUAUCGAAAUGUCUUAUAAGGUGGGUGUAUUGGUCCACAUAUAUCGCCUUGAAUCAUUUUCAGAAAGUUUAAUGUUUCCUUAACCACCUUUACAGGUGAUGGCCUUAUUAUUAAUUUCUCUUGUGAGCAUGGAACACAUAGGAAGCUCUUAGGGAGAAUUUUCCUAUCUUUCAAGGAAUGGCCAGUUGAGUUCAAGAGUAUUUUACACAUCAUAGCCGAACCAUGAUGGCCGAGCCUGUCGUGCCAUUGGUUAAAGGCUUCUCUGAACUCUUUAGUCAUUGUGACAUUAACCUCGAUCAAGUUUAUAUGGACACAAUAAAGGCUCAUAGAUAUAGCAAGGAUAGUCUCUAGGACUUUCUUAUGGCCUUGGGCAUUAUCAUAAAUCAAAAGGAAUUCUUUCUUUCCCUCGCCCUUGGUUUCAACAUGUAGACCAUUCAUACGAAUGUCUUUGAAACUUAACAAAUUUUUCUUUGAUUUAGGAGAAUAUAAUGCAUCAUAAAUUUCUAGAUGCGUGCCAUUAGGCAUCAUUAAGUGGGCCUGGCCAUGGCCUUCAAUAAGACUGGCCGUGCCUGCUAUAGUAUUAAUAUUGGCACUUCUUAGGGUGAGGUUAACAAAAUAUCUUUUAUCUUUUAAUAUAGUGUGGUUUGAUCCACUAUCCACCACUAGCAUGUUCUUGUCUUCUUUCAUUUCUGAAAAAUAGACAAGGAUCAUCAUCUUAAACAUUUCUUAAGUAUAAGAAUGUUUUAUUUGGCUUUGUUUAAAUGUUCUUAGGAAAUUUAACUGGAUAUAUAAAAUCAAAUUUAUCUCAUAAAUAGAACUUUAUUUCAAAGUAGUAGAACAAAAACAUAAAGCCAAAGGGAAAUGCAAAGACAAAAGCAACAUGAUGUCGAAAUCUUAAUUGGCCUCUUUAAGGAUAUCUGAAGUCUCAAAUUCAGUCUGAUCAUCAUUGUCAUGGGCUUGAACAUUGUCAUGGGCUUGAACAUCCUCAUGGUCGAGAUCAUUCUCAUCAUCAAGAUGGACCCAAUGGGCCACAGGGUUCUUUCCUUUUAUGCUCUCCUGGUAGAGUUUAACAAGAUGACUGGGAGUUUUGCAUCGGUUGGCCCAAUGAUUGGUCAUCCCACACCGAUGGCAAGAAGAUUUGGUCGAGCCAUGGUUUUUGAAAUCGGACUUAUACCCACGGCUAGGUUGAUACCCUCGGCCAUAUCCUCGGCCUCGGCUACGACCAAGGUGUUCACGUGGUUGAAACCCACGGUCACGUGGUUGAAACCCACGGUUACGACCUUGCCAUCUUCCACGGCCUCUCAUACGGCCAUGGAUUGACUCUUUCUUUGGAGACUCAUCUUUUGGAUCUAUGGCCGCAUGUGCCUCAGGUAAUGCAUUAGCACCAGGAAGCCUCAUUUCACUAUUCCUCAUGAGUAACUCAUUGUUUUGCUCAGCCAGCAACAAACAAGAGAUCAAAUUUGCAUAGGGGGAGAAACCCUUUUCUCGGUAUUGUUGCUGAAGCAAAACAUUGCUUGUGUGGAAUGUAGAGAAUGUCUUCUCUCACAUGUCAGCAUCAGUGAUGGUCUCUCCACACAGUUUCAACUUUGAGACUAUCUUGAAUAGAGCCGAGUUAUACUCAUCCACAGACUUAAAGUCUUGGAUCCUUAGGUUCCUCCAAUCAUAUAGGACCUUUGGUAAGAGCACCGUCCUCUGUGAUCAUAUCUGGAUUUCAGUUAUGUCCAAAGUUCCAGAGGAUUCUCAACAGUGAGGUAUUGGUCUUUGAGACUUUCAGCAAGGUGAUGGCGUAUGAUUAAGAUCGCACUGUAUCUAUCCUUCUCAGAUGACUCAUUGCCAUCAGUGAUACAAGCACCAAGGUCUUUGGAUUUCAAGAUGAUCUUGGUGUCAAGUGCCCGUUGAAGGUAAUUGUCUCCGGAGAGAUUGAGGGCAGCAUACUCAAGAAUGUUGAUUUUCGACAUCUGAAUCAAAUAAUCCAUAAAGGGAUAAGGACUCAUAAUAAGAUGAUCAAUGGGGAUUUUGAAUGUUUGAAAUGUUUUAAUAUUUUUCAAUCAUCACUAAUAAAAUUCAAUCAUUAAAAUCGAUUUCAAGGUUGGUUUUAAUAAUAACUAUGUGAUCAAAUGAUAACUUUAUAAUCAAAUGUUUUCAAAACAAGUAUUUAAAAUUUAUUAUAUGAUAUACUAAUUUUAAAAACUUGAUUAUAGUUUAUAAUAUUUGAAAUAAAUAUUUACUUUAGUCAAAUAUUUUCAUUUAAACAAUCAUAAAGGUUUUUCAAAAAAAAAAUUCAGUUUUCAAAAUCAGACAUCAAUGGUCAAAGAUUUUCAUUUAUGGGUUUUAAUAUUUCAUUUAUUCUGAUUUUGACUGAUCACAAAGGAUCAAAAACGAUUUUGGCUUUAGGGUGAUCAUGAUUGUUUUAUUUAUUUAUUUAUUUUUUGAAUUUUGGAUAUUGGAUUUUGCUGGUUGUGAAACCAAGCAAGAGAAAAAGUUUGAUGUGUGUAAUGACCGAAUUUAUUUGGCAAACAUCACAUCAGUUUGGAUUGAGGAUUUUGAUGGGGUUUUUUAUUAGGCCAGAUUAUACAUUCAUGAUUUCACAUCUGGUAAUUAGGCCAAUCGAAUGAUUGAAUCAUCCGGAAACAUGGAUGACAGAAGAAGAGAGGAGCAGCCGAUUUUAUGAAUGGCUUUUAGCUAAGGGGAUUUGCAAUCUUUCAAUAAUUUUUGUUUAUGAUUCAAAAGGUUCUUAGAAUCAUGAUUCAUAUAGAUCAUGGAUUCAAGAUUAAUAUUUGAGAUGAUUUUAGAUCUACCGAUUUUUCUCUUUUAUAAUAUCUAUAGAUUUCUAUUGUUUUAUAAGUUUUAGGAUUCAUAUAAAAUUCAGAUUCAUAUAGAUCUUUAUAAUCAAAAUUCAGAUAUGUGGUGUUCUUAGAUUUUAGGGUUAGAUUAUUUUACCUUUUCACCACAAGGAUUCUGAAUGGACCACCUUAAGAGAGAGAGGAAGAUGAUCCGCGGAUAGUGGAAAGAGGUGGAGAAGUGGCCGGCGUGGGGCUGGCCGGCGGAGAGCUUGCUCAGGUGGAAAGAGCUUC